rnacentral:rRNA from 1 species
UGAGGAAUAUUGCGCAAUGGGCGAAAGCCUGACGCAGCGACGCCGCGUGGAGGACGAAGGCCCUCGGGUCGUAAACUCCUGUCAAGAGGGACGAAUGCCGCAGGGAUGAAUAAGCCUUGCGGUUGACGGUAUCUCUGAAGGAAGCCCCGGCUAACUCCGUGCCAGCAGCCGCGGUAAUACGGAGGGGGGCAAGCGUUGUUCGGAAUUAUUGGGCGUAAAGGGCGCGUAGGCGGCCUGGUAAGUCAGACGUGAAAUCCCUCGGCUCAACCGAGGAACUGCGUUUGAAACUGCCGGGCUUGAGUCCCGGAGAGGGUAGUGGAAUUCCCAGUGUAGCGGUGAAAUGCGUAGAUAUCGGGAGGAACACCUGUGGCGAAGGCGGCCACCUGGUUGGAUACUGACGCUGAGACGCGAAAGCGUGGGGAGCAAACAGGAUUAGAUACCCCCGUAGUCCCUGAGCGGGCUGGCAAGGCG